rnacentral:rRNA from 1 species
ACGAACGCUGGCGGCGUGGAUAAGACAUGCAAGUCGAACGAGAGAAUUGCUAGCUUGCUAAUAAUUCUCUAGUGGCGCACGGGUGAGUAACACGUGAGUAACCUGCCCCCGAGAGCGGGAUAGCCCUGGGAAACUGGGAUUAAUACCGCAUAGUAUCGAAAGAUUAAAGCAGCAAUGCGCUUGGGGAUGGGCUCGCGGCCUAUUAGUUAGUUGGUGAGGUAACGGCUCACCAAGGCGAUGACGGGUAGCCGGUCUGAGAGGAUGUCCGGCCACACUGGAACUGAGACACGGUCCAGACACCUACGGGUGGCAGCAGUCGAGAAUCAUUCACAAUGGGGGAAACCCUGAUGGUGCGACGCCGCGUGGGGGAAUGAAGGUCUUCGGAUUGUAAACCCCUGUCAUGUGGGAGCAAAUUAAAAAGAUAGUACCACAAGAGGAAGAGACGGCUAACUCUGUGCCAGCAGCCGCGGUAAUACAGAGGUCUCAAGCGUUGUUCGGAAUCACUGGGCGUAAAGCGUGCGUAGGCUGUUUCGUAAGUCGUGUGUGAAAGGCGCGGGCUCAACCCGCGGACGGCACAUGAUACUGCGAGACUAGAGUAAUGGAGGGGGAACCGGAAUUCUCGGUGUAGCAGUGAAAUGCGUAGAUAUCGAGAGGAACACUCGUGGCGAAGGCGGGUUCCUGGACAUUAACUGACGCUGAGGCACGAAGGCCAGGGGAGCGAAAGGGAUUAGAUACCCCUGUAGUCCUGGCAGUAAACGGUGCACGCUUGGUGUGCGGGGAAUCGACCCCCUGCGUGCCGGAGCUAACGCGUUAAGCGUGCCGCCUGGGGAGUACGGUCGCAAGAUUAAAACUCAAAGAAAUUGACGGGGACCCGCACAAGCGGUGGAGUAUGUGGCUUAAUUCGAUGCAACGCGAAGAACCUUACCUGGGCUUGACAUGUAAUGAACAACAUGUGAAAGCAUGCGACUCUUCGGAGGCGUUACACAGGUGCUGCAUGGCCGUCGUCAGCUCGUGUCGUGAGAUGUUUGGUUAAGUCCAGCAACGAGCGCACCCCCUGUUGCCAGUUACCAGCACGUGAAGGUGGGGACUCUGGCGAGACUGCCCAGAUCAACUGGGAGGAAGGUGGGGACGACGUCAGGUCAGUAUGGCCCUUAUGCCCAGGGCUGCACACGUACUACAAUGCCCAGUACAGAGGGGGCCGAAGCCGCGAGGCGGAGGAAAUCCUGAAAACUGGGCCCAGUUCGGACUGUAGGCUGCAACCCGCCUACACGAAGCCGGAAUCGCUAGUAAUGGCGCAUCAGCUACGGCGCCGUGAAUACGUUCCCGGGUCUUGUACACACCGCCCGUCACAUCAUGGAAGCCGGUCGCACCCGAAGUAUCUGAAGCCAACCGCAAGGAGGCAGGGUCCUAAGGUGAGACUGGUAACUGGGAUG